GGAUGCGAUCAUACCAGCACUAAAGCACCAGAUCCCAUCAGAACUCCGAAGUUAAGCGUGCUUGGGCGAGAGUAGUACUAGGAUGGGUGACCUCUUGGGAAGUCCUCGUGUUGCAUUCC
rnacentral:rRNA from 2 species